CAAGGCGUAGCUACAACAUAAAGCAUUCAGCUUACACCUGAAAGAUAUCUGCCACCCAUCAGAUCGCCUUGA
rnacentral:tRNA from 1 species